AACAAAAAAGAUGAAAUAUGGUGCUAGAUACUGUAAUCAAUAAUUCACCAUUGUCUAAGCAAAGCAACAUUCUCUCUCUGGAUUUCCCCCCCUCUAAAUGCUCCAUUUGUUUCACCUACCAUGAAUCACUCCAUUUUUCCAAAAUGGGGUGGCUCAGAUCCCUCCUCUUCCCCUUGAAGAAGCUCUGGUUUCGCAUGCACUCUGCUCCAACAAAGAGUAGAGGGAUAUAUAUUUUAUAUGAAGAUGUGAAGUCAUGCACAGAUGAGGAUGUUCAUGUCCUCUGGUCCAUACUGGUAGAAUCUCAUUCACCCCAAAUUAAACCAAAACAAUGAAGCAUUUCAAGUUUAUAUGAAGCCCCUUUAGUAUCAACAUAUCAGAAAA